GACGAACGCUGGCGGCGCGCUUAACACAUGCAAGUCGAGCGAAGCGGCGGACGGGUGAGUAACACGUGAGUAACCUGCCUUAGACAUUGGGAUAGCCUCGGGAAACCGGGAUUAAUACCAAAUGGUCUAUGAUGGACUCGCGUCCCAUUAGCUAGUUGGUGGGUAACGGCCCACCAAGGCGACGAUGGGUAUCCGGCGUGAGAGGGGGAACGGAGACAUUGGAACGGAGAAACGGUCCAAACUCUACGGGAGGCAGCAGUGGGGAAUAUUGCAAAAUGGAGGGAACUCGGAGGCAGCGACGCCGGGUGAACGAAGAAGGCUUUCGAGUCGGAAAGUUCUUUUAUAUGGGAAGCGGUACCAUAAGAAAAAGCCCCGGCUAACUACGUGCCAGCCGCCGCGGUAAUAC
rnacentral:rRNA from 1 species